ensembl:lncRNA
UGUCCCGGCAUCCCGCUGACCAACUGGGUUACGUGGGGAUAUGGCUUAACCUUUCCAGCCUUCAGUUCCCUGUUCUUCCUUUCCUUUCCUUUCCUUGCAUGAGUGCUGAGUCAUGUCUGACUCUUUGUGACCCCCAUGGACUGCAGCCCGCCAGGUUCCUCUGUCCAUUGGAUUUUUCCAAGCAAGAAUGCUGGACUGGAUUGCCAUUUCCUCCCUGGGGGGAUCUUCCCAACCCAGAGUUCGAACCCGCAUCUUCUGCAUUGGCAGGCAGAUUCUUUACCACUGGCCUCACCUGGGAAGCCCCACUGUAAAAUCGUGGUCAUCAAGGAUCCACAGCACUGCUGCAAUCUCCUGACCACAUGGGCAGUACUGAAAGGAAGGACAAGGCAGAACGUCUAGAAGGCUAUUAAACAGAGAGGGGUGACUGGUCCACCAGUCACAUUUUGACUUCAUGGAAAAGGUUAAGAGACUGCACAGUAAAGCACAGUGUCUGGAGGAGGAGAGGAACCACAGCGGCAGUCUGGAGGAGAGAGGGGAAUGGGAGACAGCGGCGCUGCCCCACCUUGAACCCCUGGUCCUGAGCCAGGCGCGGCCCUUCUGCUGGCCUGUUCAUUCCAAGCACCAACAUCUGCCCUGAAUGCUUCAAGGUAAUUAGCACCACAUGUUAUCAACAGGAAGCUGGUACCCACGGGCACUUGAGAUAAUUGUUUCAGCACCAGCACGUCUCUGCCUACCGUGAAAGGUCACUGCAGCCGAUAUAUUCCCACCACCCCCAUCCCUCUCAUCAAAUGAAAAAAGCUGUCCCUGUGACUGCAGUUCUAUCAGUUCUUUGGUGCCGGGCUCAGGGCAUCCACACAAAGGCUUCUCAGAUGGACAUGUGCUCCAGGAGUUUGUAGUGAUUACUUCCUGUGACAUCGCAGUGUGGCCAUCCCCUCAUACUGGCAGUAGUUGAGGAACACAGCCAGGUUUCGUGUGUCUGGGACCUGAUGUGCUCAGAAGAAGAAAAUACAAUUGCAUUAGAUGACUGUGACCAAAACUGCUCAGGACCCCUGCCAAAGUCCGAGGAAGCAUCUUCCAGAGAGCCAGAAGAAGUGGAAAUCUCAGUGCCCUGGCCAGUCCUGCUCCAGGAAGGUGACUGAGCCGCAGUCUCCUUCCUCUAGAUCUGUGUCCCCUCUCCUGUUCUCUUUUUCCUGACCUCACCCUCUUAAUACAUCCUCCUCUGGGUCUCACCUUAGCCAGCACUCACCCCCGAACCUCUCAUAGCCCUCAGUCUCUCCAGCCUUGUCUGUCCCACCCCAAUCCGUCCUCUCUCCCACCAAAGGAGAACUGAGAAGGAGCAGGGGUCCCGGCUAUCUUGUUCACCCCCUCUACCUCCAGUGUCCCAAACGUCACUCAGUAAAUAUUUACGGAGUACAUUUUGAUCACACAGAAGGCAUUGCUAUUUGCUAACUGAUGCUGUCCUGCUUCCCACUCCACGUAACAUGAAAUUCAGGAGACUAUUAGUCCCCAGGGAGACAUAAUCAACAAGUUCUUUAUUCCAGAGCAAACAGGAGCAAGAAGAAUCUAAAUUGUGAAGUAAGUCAGCAGCUGGAGGCCCCAGCACGAGUUUCUCAGCAGGCAGCCAUGUCCUUCUGUCUGCAUGGAGAGCUGAUGGCCCCCACAGGUCAAGGCUUCAGACACGGCAGCAAGAAAUGCAGGACUGCCCCCAGGCAGCCAGCAUGUGCUUGUUACUCUGUGCGCCCAGUCCACGGAGACCUCCUGCACCCGGGUCAGGAACGGGAGCUCGCCUUCUGCAGACACUGACCUCCUACAUGGCACCCCCCAGUCCCACCCAGGUGAUAGCUGCACCAAGUCACGGGGAAGGGAAAUUUCAGUGGCUCCCCUGUCUUCUCCAUCAGACCCCCACAAGACCUCCCCCGCAGAGCGCUGGCCACACUGGUUUCUCCCCACCUCUAGAAAAUGCCCGCCCCCCCCCCGGCUCAGGGCCUCUGGCUUGGUUAAUGCCCUGCAUCCUUCAUUUCUCCUUCAGUCACACAGAGGGGCAAAUCCCCAGGUGGAACCACAGUCCUCUCCUGCACGCACUUUCUCCUGUUGUCAUUUUACUUCCAGCAUGUGCUUACUUGGUUAAUGCUGGUUUCCCCCACUAGACUGUCAUCAUCAUGAGCACAGGGUCGAGCCUAGGUCUGCUUUUACUAACCACUUUGUCCCCUGUACCUGGCACUCGGGUGGCCGCCCUAGGUAUGCAUUACCCAAACUGAGUCUUAAGAAGAUCCCAUUUGCUCAGUUAACAAUCAGUGUGCUCAGAGCACACUGAUGCUCAAACAGAUGCCCAGUGUGAGCAUUAGUGUACUCUCGUCUCAUGGCAUGUAGUAACAAUCUCAGACAACAACAUCAGCAUGUAAUACGACCACGUGUAAAACAGUUAGCUAGCAGGAAGCUGCUGUGCAGCACAGGGAGCUCAGCUCCGUGCUCCGUGAUGACCUAGACAGGUUGGAUGGGGCUGUGGGUGGGAAGGAGGCUCAAGAAGGAGGGGAUGUAUGUAUGCUGCUGCUGCUGCUAAGUCACUUCAGUCGUGUCCGACCCUGUGCGACCCCAGAGAC